CUCUAAUAUUAUUCCAGAAUAUAUAUUUCAAGGAAUAUAUACAGUGAAGUAUUAGAUAUUAAAGAGGUUUAUUCCUUCCUACUAUAGGUAAAAAAGAAGCAAUAAGAUAUGUGUUAGUAAAUAUUAAAUAUUGAAAAUACGUAUAUUAU
rnacentral:ncRNA from 12 species